rnacentral:rRNA from 1 species
AAACUCAAAUGAAUUGACGGGGAGCACCACAACGGGUGGAGCUUGCGGUUUAAUUGGAUUCAACGCCGGAAAUCUUACCGGGACCGACAGCAAUAUGAAGGCCAGGCUGAAGACUUUGCCGGAUUAGCUGAGAGGUGGUGCAUGGCCGUCGUCAGUUCGUACUGUGAAGCAUCCUGUUAAGUCAGGCAACGAGCGAGACCCACGCCCACAGUUGCCAGCGUACUCUCCGGAGUGACGGGUACACUGUGGGGACCGCCGCUGCUAAAGCGGAGGAAGGAAUGGGCAACGGUAGGUCAGUAUGCCCCGAAUAUCCCGGGCUACACGCGAGCUACAAUGGUUGGUACAAUGGGUAUCUACCCCGAAAGGGGACGGGAAUCUCCUAAAACCAAUCUUAGUUCGGAUUGAGGGCUGCAACUCGCCCUCAUGAAGCUGGAAUCCGUAGUAAUCGCGUUUCAACAGAACGCGGUGAAUACGUCCCUGCUCCUU